rnacentral:tRNA from 1 species
AUUUAAAUAAUUUAAUUAAAAUAAUGAUUUGUGGUAUCAUAUAUAUAUAUACAUAUAUAUUUUAAAUU